UACGAAGGGAGCUAGCGUUGUUCGGAAUUACUGGGCGUAAAGGGCGUGUAGGCGGUACCAUAAGUCAGAUGUGAAAGCCCCAGGCUUAACCUGGGAGGUGCAUUUGAUACUGUGGAACUAGAGAUCGAGAGAGGAAAGCGGAAUUACGAGUGUAGAGGUGAAAUUCGUAGAUAUUCGUAAGAACACCAGUGGCGAAAGGCGGUCU
rnacentral:rRNA from 1 species